CACGACGUAGAAAUAAGUUUUUAUGAGUUACCAAUUUUAUUUUGGUUCAAAUCACAUUCGAACCUGUUAUACAUAACUUUUAGAAAGUUUUUGAUUUCAUUCUGUCUUUUCACUCAUGUUUACUGUUUAUUUCUAUUUUAUUGUCAACAUGUUUGUUUGUCUAUGUGUAUUAGGUCUUUCUGAGUGUGGUGCCUGCUUGUUUGUAUGUCUCUGUGAAGGUGAUGUAUGUAUGUGUGUGCAAGGAGUAUAUAUGUAAAUCAAAACGUAUGUGAGAAUAAAUUUGUUAUGAUGGUAAUAUUUGUUGAUUAGAAAUUCAUCGAUGCUCUGCGGUGUUUUGUUUCCCAUAGUAAGGAAUUACUCUCGCCAUCAAUCGGUAGCAUUCAUCUGAAUUCUUUUUUGCCAUCGCUGGAGAAUCCCCCAGAUGCAAGCGAUGUUCCAAAAGACGCUCUGAAAAUAUCUUGUAUUAGAUCAAGCAAUCAUAAGUACAUUGACUAAUUUACCAGCUAUGUAUUCUACUUUGUUCGGCUCUAAAGCAAUACGACCUUCAACAGUUGGUUGAAGAAAUGGCCCUUCUACUUGAGAUUUAACCCGUCUUCCAAGCGGAUUAUUUGAAAGCCGCCCUGUAACUGAUCGACCAUACAGUCCUUUAGGCCACAAUUUGAGCAUAAGCAAUUUUAUAAAAACAUAAUCACUCCUAUGGCCAGCAUCAGAGAAUUUCUUCAGUUGUUCCUGAUUCGGAAAUCCCUGAACCUCGGUGAAGGCUGGCUUGUGUUGUAGCCCAACAACCUUAGCACUCAGUGCAUCCGAUAAGCUUCUACAUCUCAUCGUAGCAUCCGAAUAUUUUGCACGAACUUUGUGAAUUGCAUCCUUCAACCGUUUGUUUUCUUUUAUGAUCUCAUUGAUUUCCUUUUGCUGACCACAAGUGCAUUCUGUAAUUAAAAAUUAAUUUUGAAAUACAGAAAUCCUGAAUACUAUAGCAAAAAUUUAUAUGGUGACAACAGUUAUUUAUAAUAUAAAUUUCCAAAAUAAUAAAACAUUUUAUUCCUGAUUUUCCCAUUGUUAAGGUAAACUUUUGUAGUUUUAAUAAAAAAAAGGAUUUUUAAAAAAAGGGGCUUUUUUACAUAAUUGUUUUUAAUUUUUCUUUAUACCAUAUUUGUUAUAUGAUUUUUUCGAGUGUAUGUAUUUUUGGAAAGACAAACUGUCCAUAAACGCAUAAGAGUCACACUGCCAAAAAUACAACUAAGUAAAACGCAGUAGACGCAAGUGAACCAUUGUAUUUUUUCCGUGCUAUUGAUUCAAUCAAAAGCAAAAAAUCAAAAACAAGCAGUCAUUCGAGGUACCGUAAACUGGGGUGGCUUUGAUCACCGGGGUGACUUUGAUCACUGUACCUCUUUUUUGAAAAGGUAGUAAGAAAGCACUCGUAGUGCUUGGGAUUUGUCGUAAUCUUCACUUAUUGUGUGGAUAUAUGUUAGCGUUGCUACUAUUCAUGCAUUUCCUGCUAUUUAAAAAAUGUUUUCCAUGCUAAAAUAUUAAUUGAAAAUAAAGUGUAUUUUUAGCGAUUUUUGUUGCAUACAAACAAUUGGCCCAAGCAGGUUCAAAACAACAAGUUGCAAUACGUAAAGUUUUCAUAUUUUAUUCCCAGAUUAGUUCUUAAGAUGAACAAAUGUUAUAACAAUACAUUUUAUUGUCAUUUUUGCAAGUUUUUCCUCGAAGGCAAUGUUGAAUCCCAAUAUUCUCCACAGCGUAUUACAUAUUUCUUCUUAACAAAAACCCAAGACGUGAAGUAACAUGCAAAUUUGGACAAUUGCAUAAGUCGUAUUCCUCGUGGACUAGUUUUUGAUGAUUUUAGAAUACCUUCCCUCUCCGUAGAUAAUCAUUCAUAUAUAUUCUAAAAAUUUUGUAUGAAACUUGGACAUUCGCCAUUAUAAAUUGUUCACGUAGAAUGUGAAUGGCCCCCAAACUGCUUUCCGUAUUUAAAACUCUUUUAAGUCGUUUUAGGCUGUUCGAUUUAGUGAAAGUAGCGAAGUUUUACUUCAAAUUCAUCAAAACAAUGAAGUGAUCAAAGUCACCCCGGAGUAAUGAUUUGUAAAAAAUUUUUAGAGCAUAUUUAAAAACAGCAAAAUUGUUGCUAAACUUUUGAAGUGAUGACUGAAUCUUUCUCAGUGCAUGCCAGUACUUAUUUUAAAAAUAUCAAAGAAUAUUGUUUCCAGUAUAUUCUAAAAAUAUUUGAGAUACAAUCAAAAAAGUGACCAAAGUCACCCCAGUUUACGGUACAUAUAUAAGGGAGUAUACUUUUAUAUGCAAUAAGAUAUUUGUUGUUUUGAAUAGUACACUUCUUUUUGGUCUUUUAAUGAAUGUUACUAUUAUUUUCUACUAAUUAUUUUCAGUGUUGAGCCUGUUUUGCGUUUAUUUGUAACAUGGGACUGACCAAAAUUCAUAUUUUUUUCAUUAUUUCAGCAACAAACAUAGCUUUUUUGGGAUUUUUCGAGAGCACACGUAAUGCAAAGAAGUUUCUGAGAUUUAUCUCAGAAGCGACGAAAAUUUACAUGGGACUGUUAUGCAUUUAUGGGCAGCAAAAUUGUUAUCUACAGCUUUGCCGGAGACGUCACACCGAUUCAACUAUUUAAAAUAUUUGUAAUCAUCAAUACCUUCCCAACAUAGUUUUUCAAAAAUGAAUUGUGUUCCAAAAGUUGAACCAAUAGCACAAAAAUGGCAUUUUUUGCACAAAGAAACAUUUAUGCAAAGUUUCAGCGAAAUCAAAAAUGACAAUUGAAAAAAAAAUAAAAAUUAUGACAUUUUAUGUGGAACUGCUUUAAAAAGAACCUAUGCUAAAUUAUUCAAAUUGCAAUUCUUUACUCGUUAUUUCUUUGACUUACCGAUUAUAUCCUUCUUUUGCUUCUUGCUUUUCGGAUGGUAGAUGAAAAGGUUAGAUGAUUCCGAUUCCGAGUUGCAUGACAGUUCAUCUGAGUAAUCUGUAUCAGACGAUUGAUCUUCUAAUACCUAGAAUUUAAUUGGUUAUUGAAAACUAGGAAUAGGACCAAAUAAAAUUAAAUAUUACCAUUUCUUUUUGUGCAGACGUUUCUGGAUUAGAGUCAGUUUGUUCAGGCAUCAACUGCAGUGUUUAUCGCAAAUACUGAGCUUCGAGACGGAAUUCGAAGAACUCGAACGAUGUGGUGUGAGAUUUUUUGCUACGGAAUUUAUUCCUUUAAACUAAAAAGAAUUUAUUUGAGAAAUUUGAGUUUGCAAUUUCAACAAACACAGCAACAUUUAAAAUAGUUACCUUCAUAGCCUUUUGUUUCGUUGAGUUUACUUUUAGUUGUUCCGUAGUGUAAGUUUGAUGCUCUACUCCAUCACCAGUAUUAUAGCAGACAGAAUCAUUCAACUUGAUGUUACGUCCGCAAUGAGAUUGCUCUUGACGUACGAUAGCUGCUUGCUUUCCUUCCUCCUUCCUUUCAAGGGCUUUGAAAUCUGCGUUUCCCGAAUCAGGAACCUAUAGUAUAGACGUUGAUUUUAUUUUUUAUCUAAAUUUUGACGAACAUACGUACCAUUUUCAUUAGCACAACUUUUAGUUCCUUCUUUAGGCGCAUCUCGUCUGAUUUUUCUAAAUCUUGUUUAGCUUCAUUAUUUUCACUUAUCUGGCACUUAUUGCUUUGUAAAGAUUGUAAAUUUUCACGAAUGGCUCGAGCCAGGAGCCUUUUUCUCGCUGCAGCAUUUUUUCCAGCCAUUUUUGUGGCUUAUGCAAUAAUAAAAAUGAAUAGUCACUAGGUUACAGUCUGGCAGUUGAAAACACUGUUUUUUCUAGGGGCUGGACAACUUUACUUUCAUGAAACAUAUUUCGGUAAUAUUAUACGAUAUUGGUUAAUAUAUUUUGAUAUUUAUCAUUUAUCUGCCACAUUUACUGCUACAGAAAAUUUUUGUUAUAAUAUCAUUAUGAACUUUUCGAAUGAUUUGGGUUUUUUUUUUGGAGUUAGAUUAUUUAUUUUCACGUCCAGCGUAGUUAAUAACCCAAUUAUCAAAAAAAUGGCACUUGGUUCGGUCUGGUCGCACGCCGAUCAUAUUAGAUUGGAAAUAUUUGGCAAUAUAUUAAUGAUGUCUUGCCCGUUCACUGAUUUUUUUCCGAAGUCAAACGCAAUGCAUGAAGAUUAUUUGCGCACAUUGCGCAACAAAACAUGACUGCUUGCCCAAGACUUGGUGAAAAUAUUCCAGUAACUGAACAUUCGUUCAACUUUAGUAACUAGAUGUGUACAAAGUUUAUAUCGCAUAUUACAUUUUUGUUAGAUUUGAAUCUCAAUAUUACUAUAAUACAUUUUUCACACCGAUUGAAAAAUAUUAAUGUUUGAAUGCGAAACUAGAGGCAAGACAAUUUUAUUUUCAUGAAAACUGUUUCAGUAAUGUUAUACGAUAUCGGUUGAUAUAUUUUGAUAUUUAUCUUUUAUCUGGCAUGUUGAUAUCAGUCCAAUGAUAAUGUGCAAAAAUGCAAUGAUAAAUACUUUGUAACGCCGAAUAUUGGAAAUAUUCCGCAAUAUACCAAUGGUGUCUUGCCCCUAGACACGAAACCAUGUUUGAAUUGAUUUUCAUAGUUUCUAUCGGCCAGACUAUACACCUAAGUAAUUAUACAAACAAACUCAUGGAUCACGUGACCACGUCAGACAAUGCUGCCAGAGCUGCCAAUGUUACAAUUUAAACUAAAUUCUUCCAGUUUUAAAUCACUAAAUAAUCUAGUUUUUCUAUACGUUUCUAUACGUAUCCAGGUUUUUUAUUUGCACAAGUUUCCGGUGGUAAAUACUUAGAAAUAUUCUCGCGUGAAACUCAGCCAAAUUGAUGGCAACACAUGGUGAGAUAGAGCUUCCGUUCCAGUUUGCCAGCAUAGGGAUGGGCGAUACUGACAAAAGUAUCGAUACUUUGGUAUCGCGAUGCUUCAAUGAACUUCGAUACCAGGUAUCAGAGUAUCGAUUGAAGGAGCAUCAAUUAUCGAUGCUUCGAUAGUAUCGGUAUCAGACCUACAUUUUUUUUUUUCAAAAAGCGGCGUUCAGAAAGUAUCGAUACCGGCACUCAUUUCUCGCGGAGAGUAUCGAUGCCAAAAUACUCGAUGCCGCGACCCCCAUUAUCGAUACCGCUGGUAUCGAUGCUAGUAUCACUCAUCCUCAAGUUUUGGUCAACAAAAACAAGUGAAGUGAUUACAAUUUUUUUGUAAUUAUGUGGUGACUAAAACGAUCAAAAUAAGUCAGGCCGCGACAUUAUUAUUUAAUCAAACGCAGGUGUAACCGGAAGUAUAUUAAGAAGAACAACUUUCAACCACAAGCACCAAUGGUUAACAAUCAGAAUACAGUUUCGGAAACACCAAUUAGCACUGCCUACUAUCAGGAAGUGGAAGGUGAAAUCCCGGUCAAUAGAAAUGAUUCGACAAAUGAUGUUCACACAAAUAAAAGCCAAAAAGAUUCCGAACCCACUUCCGCUGCAAAAAUGACAGUUGAUUUUGAUUCUGAGGAUGAUAUUGAUACAGGGAAUGAAAAUUGUGAGAUGGUAUGUAAUUUUUGUUACAGCACUCGUUCGCUAAUUGCACGCGAUUUAGUUGCACUGCGUUUUAAUUGCACGUCCGUUAGUUGCACGAAAGUGCAAUUAAAAAGCAGUUUUGCGUCAAACUACACGUGGUUUUUGAAGCCAAUGUCUCUCUGUCAAGUUUUGCGAGGGAAUACUGAAUGCGCGAAAUAUUUAAUCAACUGAAAAUAAAUUCAAUAUUUUUAAUUUUGUUAUUUUAGAUUCCUGUUGUAUGUAAUAUAUAACAAAUAUACAUAAUCCCAUUGCACGUUUGCCCAAUUUGUUUUCAAUUAUAGUCGAUCUAAUUGAUUUCAAUUUGAUCACUUGUGUCGAAUUCUCACCGAAAUGUCGCAUUAAGCUGUCCACACGCUGAACAGCUUCUGAAAACUUGGGAUUCUCUGAAAUACAGUAAUGUUUGUUACACUCCAAGUAGAAGAGUCUGAAACUCGUGAACCAAGAUUUGGAAUUAAGGGCCUGAGCGUACUAGUCGGAUUACCAGAAUUUGACAUUAUAAAAGGUCUACCAGUUGAUUACAUGCACAUGGCACUUCUAGGAAUCACGCGAACAAUUUGGGAAAUAUUGGUGGAAAAUAGUAGCGGAAACAUUCAGCGAUUACGAAAUACAAGUAUUGUUAAAAAAAAAAUAGGCGACAGAUUUACAUCAAUUAGAUUACCAAGCUCGUUUUCACGACGCAUGCGGAAACCCGACGAAUAUCUUAAAUUUAAAGCAUCUGAAUGGGAGACUAUUCUAUUGCACUGCAUUUACCCAUGUUUAGCAGAUUUGUUACCUGCUACUUAUAUGAGUAACGUUAUGAUGUUUGCAACGGUUGUUUUUCUGUUACUAGAAAUAAACAUUUCGCGAAGCACGUUAUUAAAAUGUCAAAAACUAAUGAAUCAGUUUGUUGACGAUUUUGAGAAGCUGUAUGGAGAAUCUUUCAUGCUCUAUAAUGUGCAUCUAUCCGGUCACUUGGUACAGAAUGUUAGAAAUCUAGGGGCGUUGUGGAAUUCAUCACUCUUCCCGUAUGAAAACGGAACAGUAUGUUGAAAAGUUUUCAUACAUCUCACAAUCGUCCAGUUCUGCAACUUGCAACUAAAUACGUUUUGAAUAGAAUAGUGCACUACUCAUAUUCGCCAAGAACUCCAAUAGUCGAAGCCUUCACUGAAAAAAUAUGGAGUCAGCCAAGGAAAAAUGUAACAUAUAACCCAGCGUUGAAAUGUACGCUUCCAGAAGGUAUAACAUCGGAUAUCACAAUAGACAGAGAGGAGUUUAACUACACAGAACGAUGCUUUUAUAAUGGUAUCAAUAUAUGUACUAAAGUAUGGUGUGCUAAGUUUUCUUAUGACUUUUAUCAAAGUGAACGGCCUAUUUUAUAGCAUACAGCGCAUUCUAUUAGACUCCAAGGACAAAUUUUACAUUAUUGGAGAAAGACUGAAUGCAAAAAAAAAGUUUGACAACAUGUUUCUCUACGAAACUACUGGAUAUAACGAUUUAGUGAUUCUAAAUGAAUCAAUCCGACAGUGCGUAAGUGUAACAAUUAAUACUUUGGAAGAUUCUCAAACAAAAUAUAUUUCGGUGUGUAAAGUCAAGACACAAAUUGAAUGAAUUUUGUUGUAAUAUAUUUAACUAUGCUCAAUCGAAUACUAAUAUUAUCAAUUUCCAAAUUAUGGAUGAUCCUUGGUUGCUUUUUCCGAAAUUUAGUAUUUAGGUCAAAACAAUUUGAGAUACUAGCACUAAUGCAACCAAGGGCUCGAACGGCACGUGGAUUUAUAGUUCCCACCUCAAAACCGCUCUAGAUCCUGAUGAAAGUAAUGUGACUUGAAAACAUAAAUUUGUUUUUGUUUAGGGUAUGGCACACGAACUCAGGUCAAACAUAAUUUAUAGCCAAAACAUAACAGAUUUUGAUAUGAUAGCUGGAUGAGCUAUAAUUUUGUUCAACGCGCUGUGAGUAUAGUUCUGAGUUAUAACAUAUUUUGUUACUUCUUACAAACUUAGAUAUAAUUUUGAUAUGAGUUUGUUACGACUGUCUGAUCGGGUAGCCGUACCCACUAAUAUUAAAAUUCUACAGUGCCUUGUAUUAAAUCGACCAAUUAUAGAGGGCCGUCACUUUGACAAAACGUGUUCUAUCGUGUUCAAGGGUUAUGAUACAAAUGCUGAAGCGCUUGUUCAGCUACAAUUCAGUAUAUGUACAGUAGGGUGAGACAAAAAAUAAGUACUAGCUCCAAUGCACUUUUCGUGUUCCUUAUGGGUCCUGUAACAACUGUGUAACUUUUCAGAUCGAUCGGUGGAACCCCUGAUUUGCGCCCGAUUUUCAAAGUUUCCAUACGAUUUUAUAUGGGAAAAUCCACUUUUUCAAAACUUAUCCUCUAGAAAUUUCCAGUUGGCUCCUAAAAAUAUACCAAUACAUGAUAUUUGUAGGAAAUUUUCCUGGGAACAAUUCUUCUGAAGACUGUAAGGCGCUACAAAAUUUGUAGAAAAAGUUAUUCACCUUAAACUGAUCGAAUGUCUGACGAACGGCUCAACAUUGAAUUUUUCCAGCAACACUGCUGCAGCAUGCUGCUGUUGCAAACUCAACAACGUGAUGAGAAACAGUUUCGCGUAGAAUUAAGCUUGAAAGCGUGAUUUUUUGCUGAUAGUAUCUUCGGAGAAAAUGCUUAGAAUAUCAAUCCCUAUAUUCUGAUAGUAUUCGUGAUGUGAUUUAUACCCCUAAAAGUGAGAAAUCAGCUUUCUAAACAUCCCUACGUAGUGAAAAACAUUUUCGUGUGGGAUUAAGCUUGAAGGUAUGAUAUUUUGCUCACGUUAUCUUCAUUAUCGGAGAGCUUGCUUAAAAUAUUAAUUAUUAAGUUUUAAUGUAGAUUGAUUACUCCCCCUAAAAGAGGGAAGUAAACUUUCUAAACACCCACGACCUCAGACAACAUUUUGAAUUGUGAGAUGGCGACUUCCGGUGACUGGAUAAGACGUAAAUGACCGAAUACCACAUAAUAUGGGUGUUUCUUUAACCAGAAUGACGCUCAGAGGCCAGAAAUUGUCUCUGAAUACCAUUUUGAAAUCCAGGAUGGUGACUUCCGGUUUCUGAAAAACAGCGAGAUAUGACCAAAUACCACCCAAUAUGGGUAUUUCCGAAAUCGUGACGAUGCAUUGAAACCACUAAUCGACCUCAGACAACAUUUUGAGUUGUAAAAUGGCAACUUUUGGUGACUGGAAAACUGCCGAAAAUGACCCAAAAACAACCAAAUAUGCACGCAAAAUUUGGAUGGUGCGAAACUACAACUACUACAACUAAACAGUUUCAACUGGUAUCAAGCAGCAUUGCAAAGCGAGCGAGAAGCAAAACCAUUCUCCUCCUUUCUGCUUGAGGACGAGACAUAUGCUACGCUUUUCAAGUCUUUUGCACACACGCUUUCGAGAUACUUUUUCUUCUUCAUGCAUUCCUCUGAAUAUCAGCAAGCACUACAUCCUAUGAUAAAUUGAACAAUUGUCCUUUAUAAGGACAACAAAUGAAUUAAUGAAGAUUUAAUUUUGAAGUAGAAUACUUCUCUCAGGAAGUUCGGCUACAUAGGGAUGUGAUAUGAAAAUCUAAAACUGCAAAAAGUGAGAAAAAUUUCAAGUGCUAAUAAAUCGGUUAGUUUUCGAUGGAUUUCCUUCGUUUUUGCAGUAAUCGAUUAGAAAAUCUUCUAAGAUUCCAACUAAAUGCAUGAAAUUGCAAUUUUAUCAUUCGAACUAUUGUACUAUUGAAAACUCUUAAGCCUUGUCAAAACACAAAAUUCGACCUCUGAUUGGUCGGUAUACCGCGCUUUUCCAAGCACGGUCGGCAGAGUUAUGGACUUAGUAAAUUGGGAAUGCAUCAUUUGGCCUAUAUAAGAGCUUCAUCAGAUAAUAAACAAACAUUUUAUCGGAUAUUAAAUUGAACAACUGAAAUUUGAAGAACACAAAUGAUUAUUUGAAGAGUUAAUAUUUUCCCGUUUUGCGCUAUAAUCCAAAGUUAAUUAUCUACAUCUACAUGCAUACUCCGAUUAUUGUUACGUGUUUGCGUCGCUUAGUGUUUGGCUACGGUCAUGCAAAAUGCAAAUAACGGCGCGAUGCGAUUCGGCAAGACGAAAUCUGUUGAAAUGUAUAGCUCUACUUCGCCUUAAAAAGAGUUGUACAUUUCACCACAGUAAGACGAAGCGCAUCGCGCCGGCAUUCGCGUUCUGCAUAACCGUAGCCUUUGUUCCGUUCCCGUUUAAUGAUGUCGUAUUAAAUGUGCAUAUUACAAUUCGGCAGCACUUCAACUUCUCAUUUGCACAAAAUUUAAAAAUAUCCAAUGAACUUCAUUCAAAAUAUCAAACAAAAAGAAAUUACAAUGCUGCCAAUGAACGGUCAACGUUUAUUAACUAGAAAAAAUGACUGACACGCAAGCAGCCGUGUUAUUAUUCUUGUAAAAGCAUCUACUGUCUUCUUCUUCCUCACCUGUGAAUACCUCAUUGGUUCGUAGUGACCUGCUGGCCAUGUAUCUGCGCAAAUUGUAGCUAUGUAUCUACAAAACUCCUUUCUGAAGGACACCAGGGUAUGAUCUAUUGAAUUGGCACCAGAACCCAAGUUGUAACACGAGGUGGGUGUUUAGAAAGUUUAUUUCCCUCUUUUAGGGGGAGUAAUCAAUCUACAUUAAAACUUAAUAAUUAAUAUUUUAAGCAAGCUCUCCGAUAAUGAAGAUAACGUGAGCAAAAUAUCAUACCUUCAAGCUUAAUCCCACACGAAAAUGUUUUUCACUACGUAGGGAUGUUUAGAAAGCUGAUUUCUCACUUUUAGGGGUAUGAAACACACAACGAAUACUAUCAAAAUAUAGGGAUUGAUAUUCUAAGCAUUUUCUCCGAAGAUACUAUGAGCAAAAAAUCACGCUUUCAACCUUAAUUCUACGCGAAACUGUUUCUCAUCACGUUGUUGAGUUUGCAACAGCAGCAUGCUGCAGCAGUGAUGCUGGAAAAAUUCAAUGUUGAGCCGUUCGUCAGACAUUCGAUCAGUUUAAGGUGAAUAACUUUUUCUACAAAUUUUGUAGCGCCUUACAGUCUUCAGAAGAAUUGUUCCCAGGAAAAUUUCCUACAAAUAUCAUGUAUUGGUAUAUUUUUAGGAGCCAACUGGAAAUUUCUAGAGGAUAAGUUUUGAAAAAGUGGAUUUUCCCAUAUAAAAUCGUAUGGAAACUUUAAAAAUCGGGCGCAAAUCAGGGGUUCCACCGAUCGAUCUGAAAAGUUACACAGGUAUUACAGGACCCAUAAGGAACACGAAAAGUGCAUUGGAGCGAAAAAAAUACACCAACGCUUUUUUCCCAUACAACUGUGUCCCAGUCUAAUGUACAGUCAAUGUAAAAUUGUUUAUGAAAUAAACUAGAAAUAUAUAUACGGGUUAAAUCGAUACGUAUGCAUGUAUGUCAAGAUAGACGAAUCGGUACCGCGUUCUACCGAGAACCUCAUGAGCAGCAUGAGUUCGAGAUUUGAGACUGGCAGUAGUAAAUUAAUUGGAUACUAAAAAGGUAAUUUUCACUAACAAUAAUAUAAAAAUAAACGAUGAAAAAUACACACAAAAAUGCAAAACAUCGAAAGAUUUAGAUGUGUUCGAAUCGCCUAAGCAAAAAAGAAUUGUCUAAUUCAGACUAUUAUAUAUUUUAAAUCAUAGCUGUAAUAAAGCUAAAAAAGCACUUAUAUAGACUAUAAGCCAGCUACUUUUUUUUUUAUUCUCGCUUAUUUUCCGUCGGUCUAGUUCCGCCACUGUUGUGGCCAAUCACCGACGCCCAGGGAGGCGACUCCACACCCAGGACCCUAACUCACGACUACUGUUGGCUGUAAAAGAGUUUUUCUACAAGCUUUACAAAGAAUGAAUAAUCGCUUCUACAGAAUCGAUCAGCAUGUAUAAAAGUCGUUAAAUGGCUGCGUUAUUUCAUAUUAAGCCCGUGUUCGGCUAUUUAGGAAGCCGAAUGUAACAGAUAGCUGAUUUAGUUCUCCAAAACCGACUGAUUAAAAGCUGAUUAAACACUUAGAAAUACAUUAUUCGACCUAUGUUCAGCCGUCAGCUGAAUAAGAUUAGUUAUAAAAGCGCUUAUUUAGCCAAAAAAUGUUUUUUGGGUAAUUUCUAGCCUAGAACUAUCUUUCCCCUAAUAUUUAAUCUCAUUUCCUU